rnacentral:rRNA from 1 species
GAAUUCGCCCUAAGAGUUUGUUUCUGGCUCAGGACGAACGCUGGCGGCGCGCCUAACACAUGCAAGUCGAACGAGAGAGAGGGAGCUUGCUUCCUCGAUCGAGUGGCGAACGGGUGAGUAACGCGUGAGGAACCUGCCUCAAAGAGGGGGACAACAGUUGGAAACGACUGCUAAUACCGCAUAAGCCCACGACCCGGCAUCGGGAAGAGGGAAAAGGAGCAAUCCGCUUUGAGAUGGCCUCGCGUCCGAUUAGCUAGUUGGUGAGGUAACGGCCCACCAAGGCGACGAUCGGUAGCCGGACUGAGAGGUUGAACGGCCACAUUGGGACUGAGACACGGCCCAGACUCCUACGGGAGGCAGCAGUGGGGAAUAUUGCACAAUGGGGGAAACCCUGAUGCAGCGACGCCGCGUGGAGGAAGAAGGUCUUCGGAUUGUAAACUCCUGUUGUUGAGGAAGAUAAUGACGGUACUCAACAAGGAAGUGACGGCUAACUACGUGCCAGCAGCCGCGGUAAAACGUAGGUCACAAGCGUUGUCCGGAAUUACUGGGUGUAAAGGGAGCGCAGGCGGGAAGACAAGUUGGAAGUGAAAUCUAUGGGCUCAACCCAUAAACUGCUUUCAAAACUGUUUUUCUUGAGUAGUGCAGAGGUAGGCGGAAUUCCCGGUGUAGCGGUGGAAUGCGUAGAUAUCGGGAGGAACACCAGUGGCGAAGGCGGCCUACUGGGCACCAACUGACGCUGAGGCUCGAAAGUGUGGGUAGCAAACAGGAUUAGAUACCCUGGUAGUCCACACCGUAAACGAUGAUUA